rnacentral:rRNA from 1 species
GACGAACCGUGCAAACGUUGUUCGGAUUCACUGGGCUUAAAGGGCGCGUAGGCGGCUUGCCAAGUCGGGGGUGAAAUCUUUCGGCUCAACCGGAAAACAGCUUUCGAUACUGGCAGGCUUGAGGGAGGUAGGGGCGGAUGGAACUUCCGGUGGAGCGGUGAAAUGCGUAGAUAUCGAGAGGAACACCUGCGGCGAAGGCGGGUAGCUGGGCCGACACUGACGCUGAGGCGCGAAAGCCAGGGGAGCGAACGGG